CAUUAGCGGAUUAAAAAGCUUUAAAACAAAGAGGUAAAAUGUUUAAAGUUUUGUUCAACUAGGCAUUAAUAUUGAUAUUUGAUUAAGUUAAAAUUAACAGAAAAUGUAAGUGUACAAAAAGUGACUGGUAAGUUAAAAGCCUAAUUAGACUGUUAGAAGGUUAGAUUGUUAGCAUAAGCUAAACAUUAAUAAGUUAGAACAGAUAGUUAUCAUGUUUUCCAAAUAAUUAUAAGUCUUAAUAGUAAUUAAAGUUUGAGUUUUUAAAUUUUCGCACAGCGAAAUGACACUUUUUUAAAAUCUCUAAACAGUAAAACGAAAUCCUUAAGUCGGGUUAUGGCGGAGUGUAGUUUUUUUGACUGCACUAAUAGUUCGUAAACAACACACAGGAAGUAGGAAAAGAACUACAUUUCCCAUCUGCCCUGGCUGUCACAGGCUAAUAGCACCAGCUGCUUUCCAUUGCCCUAAUGAGUGAUUCUACUGCGGCAACGAGACCAAAUACAACGAAAGUAUUGAUGCUGCAAAAGAAGACGGAUCUUUUGCUAGGCUGGUUAAUGAUGACCACAAGCACCCAAAUGGCAGAAUGCAGAAGACUGAAGUGGACGGAAGCCCACAUCUUGGUCUGUUUGCUUUAACAGACUUUAAAGAAGGUGAUGAAAUUACCUACAAUUACGGAGGAGGAGUCUGGCCUUGGCGUAGCAAGGUGAAACAUCUACUCUGAAAAAGAGGAAGGCUCAGGAAGGAAAUGAGGUCCAUGCAGUGGAGAGACAUAUGAAGACCUUCAUCAUGUCAUGUUGUGUCCCAGGGAAGUUGGUCUGUGAAAACUGCAUUAGAUCUGAGUCUUUAUAUCUUAAAGAUAGAGACUGGCAAAGUGUCAAAUUCUAUGUCUAUAACUGCACUGUAGCUUACAAAAGAGAUAUAAACAAAGAUUAAAUAACACUUUGAUAGUAACACUUUACAUCUAUAUUAUAGAUACUGUACAUCAUAACAUCUGUAGUAAUGCUUUAAUAAUAAGUUACGUUACACCUCUAGCCUUUUACUUUGUAAUGAACCACUCAGCAUUUACUUCAUAAUAAACUAAUCAGGAACAAAUCAGGCAUUUAAAAUAUCCAUUAGAAUCUUUACCUACACCGUUAUAUUGAAUUAGAUCAAAUUGGUUUGGGCCGCCUUCUUCCAGUGG